rnacentral:ncRNA from 1 species
UGAAGCUUGGCUCUGACUUAAUUGUAUGAUAAAGACUAAAGAAUACACAUGGUUUUAUUUGAAUGAGGCGAGGAUGGAUAUAUAUUUUUACAAAGUUAAAAAAUAUUUAAAAUAUUUUUCCAGUGGUAUUAUUUGUAAAAAGAUGCCUUGAAAAGUCCCGCUAACACCAGUGUUAGAAAUUAAGAUUAAAGAGCGAGAGCUUGUCUUAGUUAAGUCUAUUGUAUCUGGUCAAUUUAGUGCCAGCAGCCGCGGUUACACUAAAAGAUAAAAUUAUACAUAAAUAGGUUAAAAGGCAGUUAGACAGAAAUUUUAAGUAUAUUAAUCUUUUAUAUAAAGGUGAAAUUUGAAUAUAAAAUGAUAAUUCAUAAAUUACUAUUAGGUUGAGCCUGCGACAGCCUUGAGGGAAACUGGGAUUAGAUACCCCAUUAUUCUAGGCCAUAAAUUAAUAAAAAUUUACCAGAGCACUACAAAUAAAUAAAUAUAAAAUUUAAAACUCAAAGGGCUUGGCGGUGUUUUAGACUUCUCAGGGGAACCUGUCUCGUAAUCGAUAAUCCGCGUUAUACCUAACCUUUUUUAGUAAAUCAGUUUAUAUACCGUUGUCGCCAGGUAACUUUUAAAAAUAAAGAAGUUAGCAAUAAAAAUUUGUUAAUUAAGACGUCAGAUCAAGGUGUAGCCUAUAACAAGGUGAUGAUGGGUUACAAUUGUACAAUUAGAAUAACGGACAAGUAGAAUAAUAUCUAUUUAGAAGGUGGACUUGAAAGUAAAAAAAACUAUAAAAACAUUUUGAAUAUAGCUCUAAAACGUGCACACAUCGCCCGUCGCUCUCGUUGAAAAAUGAGAUAAGUCGUAACAUAGCAGAGGUAAUGGAAAUUGUCUCUAAACU